CACGUAGGAUCCAAGCGUUAAUCGGAAUUACUGGGCGUAAAGCGCGCGUAGGUGGCUCGAUAAGCCGGUUGUGAAAGCCCCGGGCUCAACCUGGGAACGGCAUCCGGAACUGUCAAGCUAGAGUGCAGGAGAGGAAGGUAGAAUUCCCGGUGUAGCGGUGAAAUGCGUAGAGAUCGGGAGGAAUACCAGUGGCGAAGGCGGCCUUCUGGACUGACACUGACACUGAGGUGCGAAAGCGUGGGCAGCAAACAGG
rnacentral:misc_RNA from 1 species